rnacentral:rRNA from 1 species
GACGAACGCUGGCGGCGUGCCUAAUACAUGCAAGUAGAACGCACAGUUUAUACCUUCGCUUGCUACACCAUAGACUGUGAGUUGCGAACGGGUGAGUAACGCGUAGGUAACCUGCCUGGUAGCGUGGGAUAACUAUUGGAAACGAUAGCUAAUACCGCAUAAUAUUAAUUAUUGCAUGAUAAUUAAUUGAAAGGUGCAAUUGCACCACUACCAGAUGGACCUGCGUUGUAUUAGCUAGUAGGUGAGGUAACGGCUCACCUAGGCGACGAUACAUAGCCGACCUGCGAGGGUGAGCGGCCACCCUGGGACGGAGACACGGCACAGACUCCUACGGGAGGCAGCAGGAGGGAUACUUGGGCAAUGGACGAAAGACUGACCGAGCAACGCCGAGUGAGGGAAGAAGGACGUCGGAUCGUAAAGCUCGGUUGUAAGGGAAGAAAGGGUGUGCGAGUGGAAAGAUCACACUGUGACGGUAUCUUAUCAGAAAGGGACGGCUAACUACGUG